GUCAAAAUAGCUCACUAACGGCUAGAGUGUUGGUUUGAAGGACCAAAGGUAAUCAGUUCGAAUCUGAUUUUUGACA
rfam:Babesia bovis strain T2Bo apicoplast, complete genome, whole genome shotgun sequence.